CCUACGUGUGGCUGCAGUGAGGAAUAUUGGUCAAUGGGCGGGAGCCUGAACCAGCCAAGUCGCGUGAGGGAAGACGGUCCUAUGGAUUGUAAACCUCUUUAGGCGGGGAGCAAUGCCGGGCACGCGUGCCCGGAGGGAGAGUACCCGCAGAAUAAGCAUCGGCUAACUCCGUGCCAGCAGCCGCGGUAAUACGGAGGAUGCGAGCGGUAAUCGGAAGUACUGGGCGGAAAGCGCUCGUAGGCGGUAUGUCAAGGUAAGGGUGAAAUCCCCGCGCUCAAAGUGGGAACUGCCUUUGAAACUGGCAAACUGGAGUGUGUGAGAGGAUAGUGGAAUUCCAGGUGUAGGAGUGAAAGCCGUAGAUAUCUGGAGGAACAUCAGUGGCGAAGGCGACUAUCUGGCACAUAACUGACGCUGAGGAGCGAAAGCGUGGGUAGCAAACAGGAUUAGAUACCCCGGUAGUC
rnacentral:rRNA from 1 species